GAUGAACGCUGGCGGCGUGCCUAAUACAUGCAAGUCGAGCGAACAGACGAGGAGCUUGCUCCUCUGACGUUAGCGGCGGACGGGUGAGUAACACGUGGAUAACCUACCUAUAAGACUGGGAUAACUUCGGGAAACCGGAGCUAAUACCGGAUAAUAUAUUGAACCGCAUGGUUCAAUAGUGAAAGACGGUUUUGCUGUCACUUAUAGAUGGAUCCGCGCCGCAUUAGCUAGUUGGUAAGGUAACGGCUUACCAAGGCAACGAUGCGUAGCCGACCUGAGAGGGGAAUCGGCCACGGUGUGAGUGGGACACGGGCCACACUCCGACGGGGGGCAGCAGUAGAGAAUCUCCCGCAGUGGGCGAAGGCCAGACGGAACAACGCCGCGUGGGUUAAAAAGGUCUUCGCAUCGUAAAACUGUAUUAUUUGGGAAGGACAAAUUUUUAUGUACCGGUGCACAUUUACAGUGCCCGGAGAAUAAGCGCCGGCUCAAUCCGCG
rnacentral:rRNA from 1 species